rnacentral:lncRNA from 1 species
GAGUUUUCGACACCGCGACAGAUGUCAUCCACAGAUUGACGACACAACCGAUACCUGCAAGCCGAUCACGAUCAGUACUCCUCGUCCUCCUCAUCAUCGUCACCACCGCCCUCAGCGCCGACCUCCUCGUAGUCCUUCUCCAGGGCCGCCAGGUCCUCACGGGCCUCGGAGAACUCCCCCUCCUCCAUGCCCUCGCCGACAUACCAGUGCACAAAGGCGCGCUUGGCAUACAUGAGGUCGAACUUGCGGUCGAUGCGGGAGAACACCUCAGCGACGCUGGUGGAGUUGGAGAUCAUGCACACAGCGCGCUGCACCUUGGCGAGGUCACCACCCGGCACCACUGUCGGUGCCUGGUAGUUGAUGCCGCACUUGAACCCUGUUGGGCACCAGUCCACAAACUGGAUCGUGCGCUUCGUCUUGAUGGUGGCCACCGCCGCGUUCACAUCCUUGGGCACCACAUCGCCGCGGUACAUCAGGCAGCACGCCAUGUACUUGCCGUGGCGGGGGUCACACUUGACCAUCAUGUUCGCCGGCUCGAACGCGCUGUUGGUGAUCUCCGACACCGACAGCUGCUCAUGGUAGGCCUUCUCUGAAGAGAUCACCGGCGCAUACGAGGACAGCAUGAAGUGGAUCCUUGGGUAAGGAACCAGGUUGGUCUGGAACUCAUUCACAUCCACAUUGAGGGCACCAUCAAACCUCAGGGAAGCAGUCAGCGAUGAGAUAACCUGCACAGCACAACAAUUUAACACAAAUUACCAUCAGUUUCAGGGCUGUAAUGGUUUAGGAAAAAAGUUUCCACGGCUGUACAAACACCAGAGCAGCUGACAGAUUUCACCACGUUACCUGAGACACAAGGCGAUUCAGAUUGGAGUAGUUGGGCCUCUCAAUGUCCAGAGAGCGCCUGCAGAUGUCAUAGAUGGCCUCGUUGUCGAGCAGGAUGGAGACAUCAGUAUGCUCCAGAAGAGAGUGGGUGGAGAGCACGCUGUUGUAGGGCUCAACAACAGAGGUUGACACCUGGGGAGAUGGGUACACAGUGAAGCCCAGUUUGGAUUUCUUGCCGUAGUCCACAGACAGGCGCUCAAGGAGGAGUGAACCAAGGCCAGAACCGGUGCCACCACCAACAGCAUUGAAGACCAGAAAGCCCUGAAGGCCAGUGCAGUUGUCAGCAAGCUUGCGGAUGCGGUCAAGGCACAGAUCAACAAUCUCCUUGCCAACUGCAGGAACAUGAACAUAAGUGGCACCAUCAGCAAUCAAUCAAACAUAGUGAGAUGAACAAAUUCUGUGCAACAAAAAAGUUUCUACAUGGUUAAUUACUUGUGUAGUGGCCACGAGCAAAGUUGUUGGCUGCAUCCUCCUUGCCGCUGAUGAGCUGCUCAGGGUGGAAGAGCUGACGGUAUAUGCCGGUGCGCACCUCAUCAAUCACAGUGGGCUCAAGAUCAACGAAGAUUGCACGGGGCACAUACUUCCCUGCGCCGGUCUGGCUGAAGAAGGUGGUGAAGGCAUCAUCGUAGUGUCCUGCAGACUUGUCUCCGGGCAUGUGGC